CGGUAGCAGGAGGAAGCUUGCUUUCUUGCUGACGAGUGGCGGACGGGUGAGUAAUGCUUGGGAAUCUGGCUUAUGGAGGGGGAUAACUACUGGAAACGGUAGCUAAUACCGCGUAAUAUCGUAAGAUUAAAGGGUGGGACUUUCGGGCCACCUGCCAUAAGAUGAGCCCAAGUGGGAUUAGGUAGUUGGUGGGGUAAAGGCCUACCAAGCCUGCGAUCUCUAGCUGGUCUGAGAGGAUGGCCAGCCACACUGGAACUGAGACACGGUCCAGACUCCUACGGGAGGCAGCAGUGGGGAAUAUUGCACAAUGGGGGGAACCCUGAUGCAGCCAUGCCGCGUGAAUGAAGAAGGCCUUCGGGUUGUAAAGUUCUUUCGGUGAUGAGGAAGGUGUUUUGUUUAAUAGACAAAGCAAUUGACGUUAGUCACAGAAGAAGCACCGGCUAACUCCGUGCCAGCAGCCGCGGUAAUACGGAGGGUGCGAGCGUUAAUCGGAAUAACUGGGCGUAAAGGGCACGCAGGCGGAUUGUUAAGUGAGAUGUGAAAGCCCCGGGCUUAACCUGGGAAUUGCAUUUCAGACUGGCAGUCUAGAGUAUUUUAGGGAGGGGUAGAAUUCCACGUGUAGCGGUGAAAUGCGUAGAGAUGUGGAGGAAUACCGAAGGCGAAGGCAGCCCCUUGGGAAU
rnacentral:rRNA from 1 species